UCCGUAGGUGGAUAAUUAAGUCAGAGGUGAAAUCCUGCAGCUCAACUGUAGAAUUGCCUUUGAAACUGGUUAUCUUGAGUUAUUAUGAAGUAGUUAGAAUAUGUAGUGUAGCGGUGAAAUGCAUAGAUAUUACAUAGAAUACCAAUUGCGAAGGCAGAUCACUAACAAUAUAUUGACACUGAUGGACGAAAGCGUGGGGAGCGAACAGGAUUAGAUACCCUGGUAGUCC
rnacentral:rRNA from 1 species